GACGUAGGGCGCGAGCGUUGUCCGGAUUUAUUGGGCGUAAAGAGCUCGUAGGCGGCUUGUCGCGUCGUCCGUGAAAACUUGGGGCUCAACCCCAAGCUUGCGGUCGAUACGGGCAGGCUCGAGUUCGGUAGGGGAGACUGGAAUUCUUGGUGUAGCGGUGAAAUGCGUAGAUAUCUGGAGGAACACCGGUGGCGAAGGCGGCAUCCUGGACCGACACUGACACUGAGGAGCGAAAGCGUGGGGAGCGAACAGG
rnacentral:rRNA from 1 species